GAUGAACGCUGGCGGCGUGCCUAAUACAUGCAAGUCGAGCGAACAGACGAGGAGCUUGCUCCUCUGACGUUAGCGGCGGACGGGUGAGUAACACGUGGAUAACCUACCUAUAAGACUGGGAUAACCUCGGGAAACCGGAGCUAAUACCGGAUAACAUGUUGAACCGCAUGGUUCAACAGUGAAAGACGGUUUUGCUGUCACUUAUAGAUGGAUCCGCGUCGCAUUAGCUAGUUGGUAAGGUAACGGCUUACCAAGGCAACGAUGCGUAGCCGACCUGAGAGGGUGAUCGGCCACACUGGAACUGAGACACGGUCCAGACUCCUACGGGAGGCAGCAGUAGGGAAUCUUCCGCAAUGGGCGAAAGCCUGACGGAGCAACGCCGCGUGAGUGAAGAAGGUCUUCGGAUCGUAAAACUCUGUUAUUAGGGAAGAACAAAUGUGUAAGUAACUAUGCACGUCUUGACGGUACCUAAUCAGAAAGCCACGGCUAACUACGUG
rnacentral:rRNA from 1 species